GAUGAACGCUGGCGGCGUGCCUAAUACAUGCAAGUCGAGCGAACGGACGAGAAGCUUGCUUCUCUGAUGUUAGCGGCGGACGGGUGAGUAACACGUGGAUAACCUACCUAUAAGACUGGGAUAACUUCGGGAAACCGUAGCUAAUACCGGAUAAUAUUUUGAACCGCAUGGUUCAAAAGUGAAAGACGGUCUUGCUGUCACUUAUAGAUGGAUCCGCGCUGCAUUAGCUAGUUGGUAAGGUAACGGCUUACCAGGCAACGAUGCAUAGCCGACCUGAGAGGGUGAUCGGCCACACUGGAACUGAGGCACGGUCCAGACUCCUACGGGAGGCAGCAGUAGGGAAUCUUCCGCAAUGGGCGAAAGCCUGACGGAGCAACGCCGCGUGAGUGAUGAAGGUCUUCGGAUCGUAAAACUCUGUUAUUAGGGAAGAACAUAUGUGUAAGUAACUGUGCACAUCUUGACGGUACCUAAUCAGAAAGCCACGGCUAACUACGUG
rnacentral:rRNA from 1 species